rfam:Triticum aestivum genome assembly, contig: Triticum_aestivum_CS42_TGACv1_scaffold_064639_1DL
GAACUACUCUCUCCGUCCGGAAAUACUUGUCCAGGGAAUGGAUGAAUUUAGAUGUAUUUUAAUUUUAGAUACAUCCAUUUGUAUCCAUUUCUACGACAAGUAUUUUCAAACGGAGGGAGUACAAC